GCGGGACGGUGGCUCAGUGGCUGAGUGUCUGCUCUGCACCCAGAAGGCCGCAGGUUCCAUCCCAGGCACCUGCAGCU
rnacentral:tRNA from 1 species